UACGAAGGGUGCAAGCGUUACUCGGAAUUACUGGGCGUAAAGGGUGCGUAGGUGGUUUUUUAAGUCCGUUGUGAAAUCCAUGGGCUCAACCUGGGAAUGGCAGUGGAUACUGGAAAGCUAGAGUGCGGUAGAGGAUAGUGGAAUUCCCAGUGUAGUGGUGAAAUACGUAGAGAUUGGGAAGAACACCAGUGGCGAAGGCGGCUAUCUGGACGGUUUCUGACACUAAGACUCGAAAGCGUGGGGAGCAAACAGG
rnacentral:rRNA from 1 species